AGAACGAACGCUGGCGGCAUGCCUAACACAUGCAAGUCGAACGAGACCUUCGGGUCUAGUGGCGCACGGGUGCGUAACGCGUGGGAAUCUGCCCUUGGGUUCGGAAUAACAGUUGGAAACGACUGCUAAUACCGGAUGAUGACGUAAGUCCAAAGAUUUAUCGCCCAGGGAUGAGCCCGCGUAGGAUUAGCUAGUUGGUGAGGUAAAGGCUCACCAAGGCGACGAUCCUUAGCUGGUCUGAGAGGAUGAUCAGCCACACUGGGACUGAGACACGGCCCAGACUCCUACGGGAGGCAGCAGUGGGGAAUAGUUGGACAAUGGGCGAAAGCCUGAUCAAGCAAUGCGCGUGAGUGAUGAAGCCGUAGGUUGUAAAGGCUCUUUACCCGGGAAGAUAAUGACUGUACGGAGUAAUAAGCUCGGCUAACUCGUCGCAGCAGCGC
rnacentral:rRNA from 1 species